AAGUUUGAUCAUGGCUCAGAUUGAACGCUGGCGGCAUGCCUUACACAUGCAAGUCGAACGGCAGCGGGCCUUCGGGUGCCGGCGAGUGGCGAACGGGUGAGUAAUGCAUCGGGACGUGCCAUUGAGUGGGGAUAACGUAGCGAAAGUUACGCUAAUACCGCAUAUUCUGUGAGCAGGAAAGCAGGGGGACCGCAAGGCCUUGCGCUCUUUGAGCGGCCGAUGUCAAAUUAGCUAGUUGGUGAGGUAAAGGCUUACCAAGGCGACGAUCUGUAGCGGGUCUGAGAGGAUGAUCCGCCACACUGGAACUGAGACACGGUCCAGACUCCUACGGGAGGCAGCAGUGGGGAAUUUUGGACAAUGGGCGCAAGCCUGAUCCAGCCAUGCCGCGUGAGUGAAGAAGGCCUUCGGGUUGUAAAGCUCUUUCGGCCGGGAAGAAAUCGCAUGGGUUAAUACCCUGUGUGGAUGACGGUACCGGAAUAAGGAAGCACCGGCUAACUACGUG
rnacentral:rRNA from 1 species